rnacentral:rRNA from 1 species
UGAUGGCCUACCAAGGCGACGACGGGUAGCCGGCCUGAGAGGGCGGCCGGCCACACUGGGACUGAGACACGGCCCAGACUCCUACGGGAGGCAGCAGUGGGGAAUAUUGCACAAUGGGCGGAAGCCUGAUGCAGCGACGCCGCGUGAGGGAUGACGGCCUUCGGGUUGUAAACCUCUUUCAGCAGGGAAGAAGCCUUUAAAAGUGACGGUACCUGCAGAAGAAGCACCGGCUAACUACGUGCCAGCAGCCGCGGUAAUACGUAGGGUGCGAGCGUUGUCCGGAAUUAUUGGGCGUAAAGAGCUCGUAGGCGGCUUGUCACGUCGGAUGUGAAAGCCCGGGGCUUAACCCUGGGUCUGCAUUCGAUACGGGCAGGCUGGAGUUCGGUAGGGGAGAUCGGAAUUCCUGGUGUAGCGGUGAAAUGCGCAGAUAUCAGGAGGAACACCGGUGGCGAAGGCGGAUCUCUGGGCCGAUACUGACGCUGAGGAGCGAAAGCAUGGGGAGCGAACAGGAUUAGAUACCCUGGUAGUCCAUGCCGUAAACGUUGGGCACUAGGUGUGGGCGACAUUCCACGUUGUCCGUGCCGCAGCUAACGCAUUAAGUG